rnacentral:rRNA from 1 species
AAUUUAUUAAACAUUUUCGACCUUAUUAAUCGUUAAAAGAUGAGUUUGUGUAAGAUUAGGUUGUUGGUAGAAGUAAUAGUUUACCAAGCCUUUGAUCUUUAGUUGGUCUUAGAGGACGUACAACCACACUGGAACUGAGACAAGGUCCAGGCUAUCAUUAGCCAGCAGUGAGGAAUAUUGGACAAUGGGUUAGCGCCUGAUCCAGCCAUCCCGCGUGAAGGACGACUGCCCUAUGGGUUGUAAA